ACACGAGUUGUCCAUUUUUCUUCAUAGAAAAACAAACAAAUCUCUUCUUCUUCCUCCUCAAUUCUCUCUCCAAACGCUACUCCCUCUUUCUCUCUCUCAAUAACUCCUCUCUUUCUCUGUCUCUGAUUCUGUUUGAAAAGCUUGCUGCGCACAGAUCUGCAUUGUUCUUAUCUUGAGAAUUCCAUCCCACAGAGAGACUUUACGAUUAAGAAUUUUUUAUUAGAGAUUUAUAAUGAAAAUGUCAGGGACCUGCUGAACUCAUAAUCAGAAAGGUGCUGUGGUCGAGAAGUUGGUAGAAGAAACAACAACCAAUGAUCAGCAUUUGAGGCAUCUUAUAAGUAUGUGUGACUAGUGAAGAACUGUAUCUUUGCGUUGGCCUUUCUGAAAUCACCCAUGAUUUUCAGAAUUUUGUAGACCUUGCUGGAAGUGAAAGAGCUUCACAGACACAUGCAGAUGGGGCGAGGCUCAAAGAAGGCGAUCAUAUCAAUCUUAGUUUGAUAACUCUGAGAACUGUGAUAAGAAAGCUCAGUGUUGCGAAAAGAAGCGGUCACAUACUUCUACAAUAUGUGGAGAUGUUUCAGCAAAGGAAGGAACUCCAGGCUAUCGUCAUUCUAUUUCAGUUAAUAUGAAGAAAAUGCAGAAGAUGGUUUAGAAUGCAGCAGAGGAGACUGUGAGAAGCAUAAGAGCUUAUGUGACAGAAUUGAAGGAACCUGUUGCCAAACUGCAAUACCAAAAGCAGCUACUUGUUUGCCAGGUCAUUGAGCUCGAAGCAAAUGAAGCGGCAUUUGGCAGAAAUUGGCAAUUCAAGCCCUGCUCCCCAUGUUGGAGAUGAGCUUACAAUUUUUAUCGUCACGGUUUUUAGCCCACGAACUUACACGGACUGACACAUUGAUUGCAGCUGUUAAUAUCCAUUGAAUGCUUAAACUAAUUCUCUUUUAUGUCUUGCUUAAACUAACUCGAGCAAUGAGACGUGAAAGAGAGUUUCUCGCAAAGAGGUUGACUUCACGUUUAGAGGCAAAGCUUGUAGGAUUCUGCGAGAAUUCCAUUUGAGCUAAAUUUUGCACUAUCAACAGAUAACAGACCCUGGAUUUUGGAGUGGAACCCAAUUUCAAACCUUCUACAUUUGUGACAAUUGCAUUUUUUAUUUAUUCUACUUAUCCGGUUUAGAGAUACUAAGCGAACUUCUUUGGAUUUUUAGGACUAGUUUAGUUAAUUUUUUAUUUGAUUUUGUUGAGGCUUUUAAGCCAUGGUUGUAAUUAAUUUCCCUUAAUCGUCCCGAUCUCUUUAAUCCCUUUCGGGAUUUA